UACGUAGGGUGCAAGCGUUGUCCGGAAUUAUUGGGCGUAAAGAGCUCGUAGGCGGUCUGUCGCGUCGGCUGUGAAAACCCGGAGCUCAACUCCGGGCCUGCAGUCGAUACGGGCAAACUGGAGUGUUGCAGGGGAGACUGGAAUUCCUGGUGUAGCGGUGAAAUGCGCAGAUAUCAGGAGGAACACCGGUGGCGAAGGCGGGUCUCUGGGCAACAACUGACGCUGAGGAGCGAAAGCGUGGGGAGCGAACAGG
rnacentral:rRNA from 2 species